UGGGGAACGUGUUUUAAAAAAACAUAGUUCUGGGUCGUAUCUUUUUUACGCAAAACAGCACGCAUGCUAAUUUACCAAGGAAAAUGUGCGUGCUGGGUGCAUUCUAUGGCGGUGCCUUCUAGAUGUGUUUCAGAACUAUGCAUCCAGAAGCAUGCCCAAACGGGUAUUCGGGAAAGUAUUCCGAAAAAAAUAGUUCUGGGUCGUAUCUUUUUUACGCAAAACAAAUUUACCCAGCAAAAUGUGCGUGCUGGGGGCAGUCUUUUGGGUGCCAUCUGGGUGUAUUUCAAUAUAGUGCAUCCAGGUGUAUUUUAGUGGGAAUGUAAAAAAACCAAACUCAAACCCGAAGGUUGCCGAUGCCCAUUUUUUUUACAAUCGGUUUUUUUCGGAACUGUUCUCUUGACAAACAAAUAAUAAAGACAAAAGGGAACAUGCAAGGAAGCGAGCGGUUUUUCUUGUCUCUUGCAUUUCUCGUCAGUUGCAUUUUUAGUUCUGAAAAGUGAAGUUCGUGCCACGUGUUUUGAAAAAGUGUGUUGCUUUCUGCCACCAAUUUUACAUCAAUAUUUUCACAGAAUCGCAAAAAAUGAAUGGGCACACCAAGGACUGAACUGCGUAAAUGACAAAAGUACAUAAACAAGAAGGAAGCACCGUACAGAAGGGGAGUUACUCCGAUUAAAAAUUAGUUGCGUUUUUGAAUAUUGAAAUGAAAAUAAA